UACGUAGGGGGCAAGCGUUGUCCGGAUUUAUUGGGCGUAAAGCGCUCGCAGGUGGUCCGCUGCGUCGUGCGUGAAAGACCCCGGCUCAACUGGGGGAUGUCGUGCGAUACGGGCGGACUGGAGGCCAGUAGGGGGAUGCGGAAUUCCGGGUGUAGUGGUGGAAUGCGUAGAGAUCCGGAGGAACACCAGCGGCGAAGGCGGCAUCCUGGACUGGUCCUGACACUCAGGAGCGAAAGCGUGGGGAGCGAGUCCGG
rnacentral:rRNA from 1 species